rnacentral:rRNA from 1 species
UAGGGAAUAUUGGUAAUGGGCGCAAGCCUGAACCAGCAACGCCGCGUGUGCGAUGACGGCCUUCGGGUUGUAAAGCACUUUUGACCGGGACGAGGAAGGACGGUACCGGUCGAACAAGCCUCGGCUAACUACGUGCCAGCAGCCGCGGUAAAACGUAGGAGGCGAGCGUUAUCCGGAUUUACUGGGUGUAAAGCGCGUGCAGGCGGCUCGUUAAGUUGGAUGUGAAAGCUCCUGGCUCAACUGGGAGAGGUCGUUCAAAACUGGCGAGCUUGAGGAUGGUAGGGGAAGGUGGAAUUCCGGGUGUAGUGGUGAAAUGCGUAGAUAUCCGGAGGAACACCAGUGGCGAAGGCGGCCUUCUGGACCAUUUCUGACGCUCAGACGCGAAAGCUAGGGUAGCAAACGGGAUUAGAGACCCCGGUAGUCCUAGCCGUAAACGAUGUGAACUUGGCGCCUGGUGGGUAAAACCAUUGGGUGCCGCAGCCAACGCGAUAAGUUCACCGACCUGGGGACUACGGCCGC